GGAAGGUCUGGUUAUGCAAAGAAACUGGACCUUGUCCUCCAGAGGCUUAUAGCCUAGCAGGGAAGUCCUUCUCCAGGUCGCUUAUCUGGGAAGAGGGUCUGGGCAAAUGUUAUAACUUCUACACAGCAGAAGGCUGUCUUAAAGCCUGUUUUCAUUUGUCAAAUAAAUAUCUCACUGAAUGAGCUGUAUUAGCAACCUAGGCAGCAUAAAAGGUUGGAGAGGUGUGUGUGUGUGUGUGUGUGUGUGUGUGUGUGUGUGUGUGUGUGUGUGUGUGUGUACACCUGCCUGUGCAUGCUGGGGGAGGGGAAGAUAACAUAGUUGAAUCACAAUGGCAUGUGUGACAGACAGCAUGCAGAAAGGACUGAGUUCAAUGCAAUGGGCUAUGUACAAAGGAUGCCUCUUGAUGGCUCCAUGGCCACCUCAAACACAGGUUUCUUCAGGUGACAAAAUGACAUGGAGAUUCAGUUCCCAGUCCCUAUACCUCCAGGUUAGCAGAAUUGGAGAUGAGUAUGUCAGUGUGAUCUUUAGGGAACUUGGCUCUCCCAGCUGUCCCCAUCCGUGGAACUUUUGGAUCACUGCAUGUGAGAGAAGGAACUCACGCAGGACCUAGAGCUGCUUACCAUAUAACAGCUGUCCUGAUGUCUGCUGUGUCCCCGCCUGUGACCCAUCCUGAUGGACUCAAUUCACAGAUGCUCCUGGGACCUCGUUAAUGUCAGUCACCGUGGAGAAAGGUGCCAUGCAUGUGACAGUUUCUCUGCCUCCACUUCAUUCCCCUUGGUCCUGUGAAAAUAAUUACUGCCUCCCUUAAUAAAAUGAAACCCAGUGUCUGCAA